UCCGGAGGAGGCAAUCGUUAUCCGGAAUUAUUGGGCGUAAAGCGUCCGUAGGUAGCCAUGCAAGUCUGCUGUCAAAGCAUGGAGCUAAACUCCAUAGAGGCAGUGGAAACUGAAUAGCCAGAGUUCGGUAGGGGUAGCGGGAAUUUCCAGUGAAGCGGUGAAAUGCGUAGAGAUUGGGAAGAACAUCGGUGGCGAAAGCGCGCUACUGGGCCGAAACUGACACUGAGGGACGAAAGCUAGGGGAGAGAAAGGG
rnacentral:rRNA from 1 species